UACGGAGGAUGCGAGCGUUAUCCGGAUUUAUUGGGUUUAAAGGGUGCGUAGGCGGAGUGCCAAGUCAGCGGUAAAAAUUCGGGGCUCAACCCCGUCGUGCCGUUGAAACUGGCGCCCUUGAGUGGGCGAGAAGUAUGCGGAAUGCGUGGUGUAGCGGUGAAAUGCAUAGAUAUCACGCAGAACCCCGAUUGCGAAGGCAGCAUACCGGCGCCCGACUGACGCUGAAGCACGAAAGCGUGGGUAUCGAACAG
rnacentral:rRNA from 1 species